AACCAAGUUAAAAUGCUCAUAGGUAUGAACAAGCAUCAAUGUUAUUGUAGCGUGGUGGUGUGACCUCUGUGCACGUAAGCUUGAGGCAGCAAGUUCGACUCCUUCAAAAGGAAGAUUUGUACCGCUGGGGAAGUGCCAGAAGAAAAGAACAAGGAAGACUUGCUAGCAGGACAAAAGGACGGUAAACUUGGAAAAAAAAAGGUCCAGAAGAAAAGAACAAAGAAGAACUGCUUGAAGGAGUCGAACUUGCUACCUCAAGCUUGCGUGCACAUAGGUCACACCACUACGCUACAAUAACGUUGAUGCUUGUUCAGACCUGUGAGCAUUUUAACUUGGUU
rnacentral:pre_miRNA from 1 species